GUCAUACAACACAGAAUUAUCACCACUUGUACGAUAGAGAGGGAGUCCUAGUCUUCCAAUAAGAGGUGCCAGAGGAUUCUCUUUGCAGACACCAUGUAACCAGGAUGCACCCAAGUCAACAGGAAAACCAAACGAGUAGUCAGUGUGCACACGGCCUCCAAUCCUAUCUCGAGAUUCCAAAACAACCACCUGAAAUGAUGCAUCAUAAAGUGCACGAGCAGCCGCAAGGCCAGCAAUUCCCCCACCAAUCACAAUGACAGAUGGUGAGGCCUCAGCCCUCUGUCCAGCACUUGAGAAGCAAGGAGCUCUUUGGAGUUGACGAUUACUCUUGUGUUGAGAAUCCAUGAGAUAAAUUGCGAGAGAAGUGUGGAUUUAAUAAACUAAAAGUCAAUAAUCUCAAUAAUAAUCUGAGUAUAACAGAAUUGCUGGCACAAUUAUUAUUAUUAUUAUUAGUGGAAUUAGGUGAAUAAUGAAGAAGGAAGAUCAAAAGACAAGUGAACAAGUGAUUAUUAUUGGAAUUUGAAGCGAACCCCAGCUUGACCAAACAGCAGCUCAUGCGUAUAUAAAUUUUCUGAUCAGACAAUCUCUGAAAUCAAACUGGCGAUGAUCGGAGAGAGCAAUUAUCUGAUGAAAAUUGGGGGAAAAGAGAAGAUUCUAGAGAGAGGAGAGAGAAAGCAAGUAUUUGGUUGGUAAUUGUUAAUGGAGUCCAAAUU
rnacentral:misc_RNA from 1 species